AUGGACAAGGUAUUGUUGGAUGUCUUUGUUGAACAUCACAACAGAGGUGAUCAGGCCCAAAAUGGAUGGAAACCACAUGUGUACACUGCUGCUAUAAAGGCAAUACGUGACAAGUGUGGACUGCACAUCACAAAGGACAAAAUAUGUUCAAGGAUGAAGAGUUUUGACAAGCCCUAUGGUACGAUUAGCAAGAUUCUUUCUCAGAGUGGAUUUGGCUGGGACUGGGUCAAUAACAAGCUACUCAUGGAUAUUGAUGAUGUGUGACAUAAAUAUGUUGAGGCUAAUCCGAAGGCAGCUUGUUAAAAGAACAAAGAAGUGAAGAAUUGGGAGGCAAUCUACACAAUAUACUCCAAAGAUCAUGCAACCGGUGAUGGUGCAAUGACGAGUGCUGAAAGUAAGCGCAACGAACUAGACGAAGUAGUCAUCGAAGCCUCUCCAGAAUUGCCACCAAAAAGGAAGCGAACAGGUGAUGCUAUCUUGUGCAUGCUUGGAGACAUGAAGGGUUCUUUCCAUGAUGCUUUGAAAUCACUUGAGCCACUAGAACUGCCCAAGGUCACUCCUCGUCUUGAAAUCCUUGCUGCCCCUGAAAAGAUUCAAGACUUGACUCGUUCAGCCAUGUUGCGAGCAUAUGGUAAACUCAUCCUUAGUGAACGCCUAUUCCAAGCGCUUAUGGAGUUACCUAUGGAGUUUAUGAAGGAAUGGUUGUCGAUGCUCAACGAGAAGAACACCAUUUGA
rnacentral:rRNA from 1 species